rnacentral:snRNA from 1 species
UCAGCUCUCUUUGCCUAUUGGCUUAGAUCAAGUGUAGUAUCUGUUCUUUUCAGUUUAAUCUCUGAAAG